CGGGAAUUGUCCUCUGAAGGGGCGGCGCAUGGGCGUCCCCCGCCCUGCUAGCCCCAUCUCCUUCCCUGUCCCUGCUUGGGCAGGAGGCCCAAGCCCUGACAACAGAGGUGAGAGAGGCUGUGCCAGCCCUUCUCUGGGCAUGUCUGGGCUCAAGGGCCAGGCUCUGUCUCCAGUCUAGGGCCAAGCUGGGGCCUGUGGCAGGAUCAGAUAGAGGCAAAACAUUGAUGAGGCAGGGGGACGGACAAAAUGGGCCUUCCAGAGGUGCUCUCAGACCCUCCCAGCCACACUACAGCCGCAGAGCCCUCCGCUCACAAACCAUCCUGGCCUCAUCAGAACCUGGGGAGGGUUCCUAGUUGUGCAGGGGGUUCCCUGUACGUACCCCUUUCCCUCCAGCACUGGAGCCCGAGUCUCCCGCUGAGCAGGCACCUCUCCCUCCACGCCCAGGCUUCUUAAACCAACCCCUCCUCCCCUUGUCAUUCAUGAACCAGAUGCAGAAACUGAGGCUCAGAAGCGUUCGGCCACGUGCAUGCAUUGCCUUUCCCAUUGGUGCUCCAUCGCCAGUAAUGGAUAAGUAAUAAGUAAUAAGGUGCAUUGGAAAUUCAAAUUUCAGAAUAAGCUGACUGCCAAGAGGGCCCUCCCCCUGUCGGGAGUCCCUUAGUCCAUGGGAAAUUCACAGAGAAGGAAACAGUCACUUUUCCUGCACCUGAGAAGGUGAUUCUGACUCUCCUGGAACCUGAGAACCACCAGUCUACGGGAACAGAGCCCUGCUUUGGGUCAGGUGUGUAUAACUAUGGUAUUCCCUUUCUUCUCUGCCUCUAUUGUUGAUGUUGUUUUUUUGUUUUUUGUUUUUUUUUGAAACGGAGUCUCGCUGUUGCCCAGGCUGGAGUGCAGUGGCGCAAUCUCGGCUCACUACAAUCUCCGCCUCUGGGGUUCACGCCAUUCUCCUGCCUCAGCCUCCCGAGUAGCUGGUAAGGGAGGAGACCACCCCUCACAUUGUCUUAUGCCCAAUUUCUGCCUCCAAAGAAAGAAGUAAAAACUAAAAGGCAGAAAUGAAAUCCACAGGCAGACAGCCCGGCGCUGCACCCUGGGCCUGGUAGUUAAAGAUCGACCCCUGACCUAAUCAGUUAUGUUGUCUAUAGAUUACAGACAUUGUAUAGAAAUGCACUGUGAAAAUCCCUAUCUGUUUUGUUCCGAUCUAGUUACCAGUGCAUGCAGACCCCAGUCACGUACCCCUUGCUUGCUCAAUCAAUCCCGACCCCCUCACACGCACCCUCCUUAGAGUUGUGAGCCCUUAAAAGGGAUAGGAAUUGCUCACUCGGGGAGCUCGGCUCUCGAGACAGGAGUCUUGCCGAUGCCCCCAGCCGAUUAAACCCCUUCCUUCAACUCGGUGUCUGAGGAGUUUUGUCUGCAGCUCGUCCUGCUACACUGGGACUACAGGCGCUCGCCACCACGCCCGGCUAAUUUUUUAUAUUUUUUAGUAGAGGCAGGGUUUCACCGUGUUAGCCAGGAUGGUCUCGAUUGCCUGACCUCAUGAUCCGCCUGCCUUGGCCUCCCAAAGUGUUGGGAUUACAGGCGUGAGCCACCGCGCCCGGCCCCACUCUCUACCUCUGUUUGUUUAGGGGCAGGCAUAGAAUCCCAUUCUAGUCAAUGAGACAGAAAGGGGUUCUGGAAAGUUCCCCCACCCCCUUAUAAAACAAGGAGGACGUCUUCAAGGAGGACGUCUGAGGAGAAGCUUUGCCGUGGCCUUUUGCCUUUGGAUGCUGCCAGAGGGGUUAGAAGGCGGAGCUCCACAGUCAGGCAGCUGGGGUGUGUAUCCUAGCGGGGAGAGCAAGAGACAGUGGGACAAAAAUAAUAACAGUAAUAGCAGCAAUGCUUCUUGAGGACUUUCCGCAUGGCAGGCCCUAUUCUAAGCACCUCAUGUAGCAUAUUUUACCCUCAAACAGUCCUGAGGUAGGUUCUGUUAUUGCGAUUUUAUAAAUGAGGAAACUGAAGCACAGACAAGUUUAAAUAACUCGUUCAAAGUCAUACAGCUCAUACAUGGAGGCCAGCAUGCAGGCCAGGUGUGUGGGGUAUGGGCAUUGCGGGCUACUUUAGGGACCCUGACCUUUUCCUCAGCAUAGUGGGAAGCUGGUGAAAGGUUUUAAGCAGGGGUGGCCCCUCUGAUUUACCUUUUUUUUUUUUUUUUUUUUUUUGAGACAGUGUCUCACUCUGUUGCCCAGGCUGGAGCGCACUGGUGAGAUCUUGGCUCACUGCAGCCUCAAACUCCUGGGCUCAAGUGAUCCUCCCACCUCAGCCUCCUGAGAAGCUGGGACUACAGGCAAAUGCUACAGUGGCUGGCUACUUUUUGUAAAGACGGAGUUUCACCAUGUUACCCAGGCUGGUUUUGAACUCCUGAGCUCAAGCAAUCCGUCCACCUCUGCCUCCCAAAGUGCUGGGAUUACACGCAUGAGCCACCACAUCUGGCCUGAUUUACUUUUAAAAGUCACUGAAAUGCUUUGCUCCUAAAUUCUCUGCUGGGGACAAGCCAGCCACACUUGCACGGCCUGUUCUUCAGCCUCUUUUCCUCCCUGAGACAUCAGUCCCUUAGCAAACCCAGCGUCUUGGGUGACUGGGACCAGGGUGACUCAAUGGCAGAUGCUGAUGGGUGAGACAGCCACAAAGAUGAUCUUUGGAGAGUGAGUUAUAGGUGAUUUGUUUUAUUUAAUUUUUAAUUUUUUUAUUUUUUUUUGAGACAGAGUCUCACUCUGUCGCCCAGGCUGGAGUGCAGUGGCGUGAUCUCAGCUCACUGCAACCUCCUCCUCCCGGUUCAAGCUACUCUCCUGACUCAGCCUCCAGAGUAGCUGAGAUUCCAGGCAUGUGCCACCACACCCAGCUAAUCUUUGUAUUUUUAGUAUAGACAGGGUUUCACCAUAUUGGCCAGGCUGGUCUCCAACUCCUGACCUCAAGUGAUCCACCAACCUUGGCCUCCCAAAGUGUUGGGAUUACAGGAGUGAGCCACCACCUCUGGCCAGGUGAUUCGUUUUAAAUCUGAAUUUUUACAUUUUUUUAUAAUAAGUGACCAUAUAUCACUUGCUAUUUAAAAAAAAAUUUUUUUUGAGAUGGAGUUUCACCCUUGUUGCCCAGGCUGGAGUGCAAUGGCAUGAUCUUGGGCCACUGCAAUCUCCGCCUCCCGGGUUCGAGCGAUUCUCCUGCCUCAGCCUCCAAGUAGCUGGGACUACAGGCAUGUGCCACCACGCCCAGAUAAUUUUUGUAUUUUUAGUAGAGGCAGGGUUUCACCAUGUUGGCCAGGCUGGUCUCAAACUCCUGACCUCCGGUGAUUCUCCUGCCUUGGCCUCCCAAAGUGCUGGGAUUACAGGCAUGAGCCACCGUGCCCAGCCAAAAGUCAUUAUUUAUAAAAAGAAAGAUGAGGGGCCAGCACCCCACCCUCCCCAGGGUUGUUGACUCCUGCUGGUACUGGCUGUGGCUGAAGUCAUCAUCAUGGAGGCUAACCCUUGGAGGGUAGAUAGUGCAGUGGCAGCAUCCUAAGGGCUUUAUGUGACCUGUAUGAACUCAUUUAAUCCCCAC
rnacentral:lncRNA from 10 species